rnacentral:rRNA from 1 species
CCCUUAGAUGUUCUGGGCCGCACGCGCGCUACACUGACUACUUCAACGAGUUGUUUCCUUGAUCGAAAGGUCUGGGUAAUCUUUGAAAGGUAGUCGUGAUGGGGAUAGAUCCUUGCAAUUUUUGAUCUUCAACGAGGAAUUCCUAGUAAACGCAAGUCAUCAGCUUGCAUUGAUUACGUCCCUGCCCUUUGUACACACCGCCCGUCGCACCUACCGAUUGAAUGGUCCGGUGAAUCUUUAGGACUGUGGCUGAGGCCUUGCCUUGUGCGGGUCUGGCCGUGGGAAUUUAGUUAAACCUUACCAUUUAGAGGAAGGAGAAGUCGUAACA